ACUCUCGGUAAAUGAAUGAGGAGAGCCCCAUGUGGGAUUACAAACUUGCUGGAAAUGGAUGAGAAACCUUCUGCUCUGCUGGAGUUUAUCUUGAGUGUGCCUUAAAAUUCCAUUUCAUGGAGAACUGUGCGUGGUUGAAUUUUGAUUGAUUACUCAAUUAACUGAUGUAUUGGUAGAGUGAUUAAGAAAGAAGACUUUGGGAUCAGACCAACCUGGUUUUGAAUUCAAGCUCAGCAACUUACUAGGUCAAACCGGAAAGAUGACAAUGAAUGUGGUGAUAUUUUUGUUACUACUUUGGGAGAAAAACUCCUGACGGUGCUGAUGUCCAAUGAAA
rnacentral:lncRNA from 1 species